rnacentral:misc_RNA from 1 species
CCGAGCUUACAACUCCCAAACCCCUGUGAACAUACCUAUAUGUUGCCUCGGCGGAUCAGCCCGCGCCCCGUAAAACGGGACGGCCCGCCGCAGGAUCCACAAACUCUGUUUUUAUUGUAACUUCUGAAUAACAAAACAAAUAAUCA